rnacentral:rRNA from 1 species
AAUGAGCGCUGGCGGCAUGCCUAACACAUGCAAGUCGAACGAGACCUUCGGGUCUAGUGGCGCACGGGUGCGUAACGCGUGGGAAUCUGCCCUUGGGUUCGGAAUAACAGUGAGAAAUUACUGCUAAUACCGAAUGAUGACGUAAGUCCAAAGAUUUAUCGCCCAGGGAUGAGCCCGCGUAGGAUUAGCUAGUUGGUGAGGUAAAAGCUCACAAAGGCGACGAUCCUAGCUGGUCUGAGAGGAUGAUCAGCCACACUGGGACUGAGACACGGCCCAGACUCCUACGGGAGGCAGCAGUGGGGAAUAUUGGACAAUGGGCGAAAGCCUGAUCCAGCAAUGCCGCGUGAGUGAUGAAGGCCUUAGGGUUGUAAAGCUCUUUUACCCGGGAUGAUAAUGACAGUACCGGGAGAAUAAGC